GUCCACGCCGUAAACUAUGGAUACUAGCUGUUGGAGGUAUCGACCCCUUCAGUAGCGAAGCUAACGCGUUAAGUAUCCCGCCUGUGGAGUACGGUCGCAAGACUAAAACAUAAAGGAAUUGACGGGGACCCCGCACAAGCGGUGGAGCGUGUUCUUUAAUUCGAUGAUAAACGAAGAACCUUACCAGGGCUUGACAUCCCUUGAAUUACUAUGAAAGUAGUUAGUGCUUUAUUGAGCAAGGUGACAGGUGUUGCAUGGCCGUCGU
rnacentral:rRNA from 1 species